rnacentral:rRNA from 1 species
GAGGUAAUGGCUCACCAAGGCGACGAUCAGUAUCUGGUUUGAGAGGACGAUCAGACACACUGGAACUGAGACACGGUCCAGACUCCUACGGGAGGCAGCAGUGGGGAAUUUUCCGCAAUGGGCGAAAGCCUGACGGAGCAAUACCGCGUGAGGGAUGACGGCCUAUGGGUUGUAAACCUCUUUUUUCAGGGAGGAAUCAAUGACGUGUACCUGAAGAAUAAGCAUCGGCUAACUCCGUGCCAGCAGCCGCGGUAAGACGGAGGAUGCAAGUGUUAUCCGGAAUCACUGGGCGUAAAGCGUCUGUAGGUGGUCUAGUAAGUCAACUGUUAAAUCUUGAGGCUCAACUUCAAAAUCGCAGUCGAAACUAUUAGACUAGAGUAUAGUAGGGGUAAAGGGAAUUUCCAGUGGAGCGGUGAAAUGCGUAGAGAUUGGAAAGAACACCGAUGGCGAAGGCACUUUACUGGGCUAUUACUGACACUGAGAGACGAAAGCUAGGGUAGCAAAUGGGAUUAGAUACCCCAGUAGUCCU